AGCAUAUCAAUAAGCGGAGGAAAAGAAACCAACAGGGAUUGCCUUAGUAACGGCGAGUGAAGCGGCAAUAGCUCAAAUUUGAAAUCUGGCCUUCUGGUCCGAGUUGUAAUUUGUAGAGGAUGCUUCAGGCGCGGUCCGGUCUAAGUUCCUUGGAAUAGGACGUCAUAGAGGGUGAGAAUCCCGUAUGCGACUGGUUGCCUAUGCUCAUGUGAGGCUCCUUCGACGAGUCGAGUUGUUUGGGAAUGCAGCUCAAAAUGGGUGGUAAAUUUCAUCUAAAGCUAAAUAUUGGCCAGAGACCGAUAGCGCACAAGUAGAGUGAUCGAAAGAUGAAAAGCACUUUGGAAAGAGAGUUAAAUAGUACGUGAAAUUGUUGAAAGGGAAGCGCUUGCAAUCAGACUUGCGCGCAGUUGAUCAUCCGGUGUUCUCACCGGUGCACUCGGCUGCGUUCAGGCCAGCAUCAGUUUUGGUGGUUGGAUAAAGGCCAGAGGAAUGUGGCUUCCUUCGGGGAGUGUUAUAGCCUCUGGUGCAAUGCAGCCUACUGGGACUGAGGGCCGCGCUUCGGCUAGGAUGCUGGCGUAAUGGUUGUAAGCGACCCGU
rnacentral:rRNA from 1 species